UGGGGAAUCUUGCACAAUGGGGGAAACCCUGAUGCAGCGACGCCGCGUGAGCGAUGAAGCCCUUCGGGGUGUAAAGCUCUUUCGACGGGAACGAUAAUGACGGUACCCGGAGAAGAAGCUGCGGCUAACUACGUGCCAGCAGCCGCGGUAAUACGUAGGCAGCAAGCGUUGUUCGGAAUUACUGGGCGUAAAGAGUGUGUAGGCGGUGCUCUAAGUUCGGUGUGAAAUCUCCCGGCUCAACUGGGAGGGUGCGCCGAAAACUGGAGUGCUGGAGCGCGGGAGAGGAAAGCGGAAUUCCUGGUGUAGCGGUGAAAUGCGUAGAUAUCAGGAGGAACACCGGCGGUGUAGACGGCUUUCUGGACCGUAGCUGACGCUGAGACACGAAAGCGUGGGUAGCAAACA
rnacentral:rRNA from 1 species